rnacentral:lncRNA from 1 species
GGAUCUAAACCUGGCGGGACGGACACACACGUGUGCAAUGGUCCUUCCCGUGAACGGGGGGCCUCCCUUGGCUUUCGGAGUUCUCCAGGUAACACACCCUGCUUUUAGGACAGAAAAGGGAAAAGGAGGCGUGGCAGAUGAGGGGUCUGAAGGAAGACACACGCCUCUCCCUGGAGACCCAAACGGCGCUGCGAGGAAGGGCCAUGAAAGGGCACACCCGGCACAGAAGGCAGGGCCUCCCUGCGACCCAUGCAGACCUCAGGGGGGUUACGCUCAUAGUCCCCGCCUGCAAGGAGACUCCCCAGGUGGCACAGAGGUAAAGACUCCGCCUCAACGCAGGAGAGGCAGGACUCCACCUCAACGCAGGAGAGGCAGGAAGUUCAGGUUCGGUCCCUGGGUGAGGAAGAGCCCCUGGAGAAGGAAAUGCCAACCCACUCCAGUAUUCCUGCCUGGACAACCCCAUGAAGAGAAGAGCCUGGCGGGCUGCGGUCCACGGGGCUGCGGAAAGCUGGACAAGAAUGAGCAACUGAGCACAUGCACACAAGGAGAGCCACGGGGCAAGGGCGCCCAGCACGAGCAGACGCACCGCUCACAUCAGGGCGGACAGGGCGGGCAGGAGGAGGUCAGGGCGGGGAGCCACUUGGGGGAACACAGAAUCAAGGUGUGACAGCUUCCACGCUCCCGGGAGACCAGAGCUCUCCGCCCCAUCUACCAGAAACGGAAGGGAGAAAUGAAUGAAGUCACUGGAGGCCGCCUUCUGGCUCCAACACACCGAUCCACAUGGGAUGCAGGACCUACGCGGAGCCCCAACGUUCCCCAAGAAAGCCUCUGCCCACACCUCUCAGCCAGGUCUUCCCAUCACCAGGGGAAGCGGAACCGCACAGAGGUCAAGAGCGCCGCCACACACGUAGACUCAAGGCCUAUCCCACCACUGGGACGCUGUGCCACUCUGCGUGAGANNNNNNNNNNNNNNNNNNNNNNUGGGAUUUUCCAGUCAAGAGUACUGGAGUGGGGUGCCAUUGCCUUCUCUGCUCUUAAAAGGCAGGAGGAAACAAACUAGGGAUAUUAUUUUUCCCUUCUCUAUACAAAUUUAAAAGGUUCUCUUAAAAUACUGUGUUGCCGUAAUGACACAUGGUUUCACCUGAAGUUAACUAUUCUCAACCCUUGAGUUAACCAAUGCAUUUUUCUUAUGUAAAUGUUUGUCUUAAGCUAUUUUAAUGUACUAUGCAUUUAUGCCAGACUCUGUCUUCAAGUCGGUUCUGCCUAAUGGCUCAGAACCUACUUAACAAAACGUUAUAC